rnacentral:rRNA from 1 species
UACAGAGGGGGCAAGCGUUAUUCGGAAUUAUUGGGCGUAAAGCGUGCGCAGGCGGUUGUGCAAGACAGAUGUGAAAAUCCCCCGGGCUUAACCUGGGAACUGCAUUUGUGACUGCACGGCUAGAGUGUGUCAGAGGGGGGGUGGAAUUCCGACGUGUAGCAGUGAAAUGCGUAGAUAUGCGGAGGAACACCGAUGGCGAAGGCAAUCCCCUGGGCCUGCACUGACGCUCAUGCACGAAAGCGUGGGAGCAAACAGG